rnacentral:rRNA from 1 species
UACGUAGGGUGCGAGCGUUGUCCGGAAUUAUUGGGCGUAAAGAGCUUGUAGGCGGUCUGUCGCGUCUGCUGUGAAAACCUGAGGCUCAACCUCGGGCUUGCAGUGGGUACGGGCAGACCAGAGUGCGGUAGGGGGUGACUGGAAUUCCUGGUGUAGCGGUGGAAUGCGCAGAUAUCAGGAGGAACACCGAUGGCGAAGGCAGGUCACUGGGCCGCAACUGACGCUGAGGAGCGAAAGCAUGGGGAGCGAACAGG